UACGAAGGGGGCUAGCGUUGCUCGGAAUGACUGGGCGUAAAGGGCGCGUAGGCGGACUGCACAGUCAGGCGUGAAAUUCCUGGGCUUAACCUGGGGACUGCGUCUGAGACGUGUGAUCUAGAGUGAGGAAGAGGGUCGUGGAAUUUCCAGUGUAGAGGUGAAAUUCGUAGAUAUUGGAAAGAACACCGGUGGCGAAGGCGGCGACCUGGUCCUUGACUGACGCUGAGGCGCGAAAGCGUGGGGAGCAAACAGGGAUUAGAUACCCUGGUAGUCCACGCUGUAUACGAUGUGUGCUUGAUGUUGGGGUGCUUAGCACUUCAGUGUCGGAGCUAACGCGGUAAGCACACCGCCUGGGGAGUACGGCCGCAAGGUUGAAACUCA
rnacentral:rRNA from 1 species